AGACCCGAAACCCGGUGAUCUAGCCAUGGGCAGGUUGAAGGUUGGGUAACACUAACUGGAGGACCGAACCGACUAAUGUUGAAAAAUUAGCGGAUGACCUGUGGCUGGGGGUGAAAGGCCAAUCAAACCGGGAGAUAGCUGGUUCUCCCCGAAAGCUAUUUAGGUAGCGCCUCGUGAAUUCAUCUCCGGGGGUAGAGCACUGUUUCGGCUAGGGGGCCAUCCCGGCUUACCAACCCGAUGCAAACUGCGAAUACCGGAGAAUGUUAUCACGGGAGACACACGGCGGGUGCUAACGUCCGUCGUGAAGAGGGAAACAACCCAGACCGCCAGCUAAGGUCCCAAAGUCAUAGUUAAGUGGGAAACGAUGUGGGAAGGCCCAGACAGCCAGGAUGUUGGCUUAGAAGCAGCCAUCAUUUAAAGAAAGCGUAAUAGCUCACUGGUCGAGUCGGCCUGCGCGGAAGAUGUAACGGGGCUAAACUAUGCACCGAAGCUGCGGCAGCGACACUAUGUGUUGUUGGGUAGGGGAGCGUUCUGUAAGCCUGUGAAGGUGUGUCGUGAGGCAUGCUGGAGGUAUCAGAAGUGCGAAUGCUGACAUAAGUAACGAUAAA
rnacentral:rRNA from 1 species